rnacentral:rRNA from 1 species
UACAGGGGGUGCAAACGUUGCUCGGAAUCAUUGGGCGUAAAGCGCACGUAGGCGGUUCGUUAUGUCGGAUGUGAAAGCCCUUGGCUUAACCGAGGAAGUGCAUCCGAAACUGGCGAGCUAGAGUACUAAAGAGGAUCGCGGAAUUCCCGGUGUAGAGGUGAAAUUCGUAGAUAUCGGGAGGAACAUCGGUGGCGAAGGCGGCGAUCUGGGUAGAUACUGACGCUGAGGUGCGAAAGCGUGGGGAGCAAACAGG